UGGGGAAUAUUGGACAAUGGGCGAAAGCCUGAUCCAGCAAUGCCGCGUGAGUGAUGAAGGCCUUAGGGUUGUAAAGCUCUUUUACCAGGGAUGAUAAUGACAGUACCUGGAGAAUAAGCUCCGGCUAACUCCGUGCCAGCAGCCGCGGUAAUACGGAGGGAGCUAGCGUUGUUCGGAAUUACUGGGCGUAAAGCGUACGUAGGCGGUGACUCAAGUCAGAGGUGAAAGCCUGGAGCUCAACUCCAGAACUGCCUUUGAAACUAGGUCGCUAGAAUCACGGAGAGGUGAGUGGAAUUCCGAGUGUAGAGGUGAAAUUCGUAGAUAUUCGGAAGAACACCAGUGGCGAAGGCGGCUCACUGGACGUGUAUUGACGCUGAGGUACGAAAGCGUGGGGAGCAAACAGGAUUACAUACCCUUGUAGUCCCUGAGCGGGCUGGCAAGGCGCAU
rnacentral:rRNA from 1 species